GAUGAACGCUGGCGGCGUGCUUAACACAUGCAAGUCGAACGAAGCACUUUAUUUGAUUUCCUUCGGGACUGAUUAUUUUGUGACUGAGUGGCGGACGGGUGAGUAACGCGUGGGUAACCUGCCUUUUACAGGGGGAUAACAGUUGGAAACGGCUGCUAAUACCGCAUAAGCGCACGGCAUCGCAUGAUGCAGUGUGAAAAACUCCGGUGGUAUAAGAUGGACCCGCGUUGGAUUAGCUAGUUGGUGAGGUAACGGCCCACCAAGGCGACGAUCCAUAGCCGACCUGAGAGGGUGACCGGCCACAUUGGGACUGAGACACAGCCCAAAAUCCUACGGGAGGCAGCAGUGGGGAAUAUUGCACAAUGGGCGAAAGCCUGAUGCAGCGACGCCGCGUGAGCGAAGAAGUAUUUCGGUAUGUAAAGCUCUAUCAGCAGGGAAGAUAAUGACGGUACCUGACUAAGAAGCACCGGCUAAAUACGUG
rnacentral:rRNA from 1 species